GGCUACAACAGGAGGACACUGAUAUAAAAGAGGUGAACCUCGUGGCACAAGUCCAAACCUGGAUUCAACCAGUGUCAGCUCAGACAAGUCAUGCAGCACUGAGGAUAUGAGCGGCUGGGGUUUCAGGCUCUUAAGCUGUUCCCCAAGGGACCUGAACAUACGGUGGCCGGGAGGUGCGAACCAACAUUACAAAAUGUGAAACACUUUUACAAACCUUGAGACAAAUUUACAUUUUAGAAAACAUUUUUACAUAUCAUAAAACAAAAUUCCAUUUCAGAAAAAAAAAUUAACUAGACACAAAACACUUUUACAAACUCCGGAACAAAUUUACAAGUGGCGAAACACUUUUACAAGUCCAGAAACACUUUUACAAGUCCCGAAACAAAUUUACAAAUAGCAAACAUCAACCGGAAAGGGAAUGUACCAACUCCGGGGUUGAACCGGAAGUGAUAACAGGAGCGGCCAAUACGAGUGUUUGUUGUCAUUGACGGGGUUCAUGGGGAACCAAGAUGGACGGCGAGCGCGUGAUCUUCUGCCCGUUUUGUGGCAAACACAUGAGCCGCUUGGCGGUUUUGUUUUUUGUGUGGUCGAUCUUUAGAGUUUUUAAGGGGCAUGGAUCAGACAGAAGGACCAAACACACAGGGGACAUCUCAACAGCUGGAUAAUGUUAAACAAACAGAAAAACCUUGCCCAUCAUAUAAGCAGUUCCUGGAGUACAGAAGCUCCAAGUCAAAAGAGCGCCAGUCUUUUAACUACAGGCCGAGAGGAAGACAUCGGGCUAAAGAACAAAAACACGUCCAGAAUGUGGAGCAUAUAGCACUCUAUGCAGGAUAACAGCAGCUCUCCUUCAAGACAAGAUGCUUUGCUAUGGGCAGGAAGGAGUGAUCUGGAAAAGAGACACAAGUUUCUGCCUGCAGCACCAGGACUCCGAGAGUGACGUCUGUCUCGCCCUAGCAGCACCUGUCUCUCUCCUCUACUGCUCCCUGGAUCGCCUCAUCAUAUUCUGUUUAUGGUUGAUUCUCAGAUGUUUAACUAUCUUAAUACUUAACUGUCUUCUCACAGACAUCACGUGCCGCAUCGUUGCUGUUUAUGGAGCUGAAAUAUGUCCCCACAUGACUGCGUUUUAGCGAGUAGCAGCACGUUGUGACCAGUGACGCUCUUAGAGAGCCAUAUUACGCAUGUGACUGACAGGCGGAAGAAGAAGUAGUUCCUACUAACUGGGAAUCAUUACAACAAGUUUGCGAUAGUGUUUUUACUCUUCACUGUAUUCCUGUUACUGGCAAACUACACAUUUGUCCACAUUUAAUAAAAUAUCGAUAUUUUUGUAUGAGAAUCGAUUCUAAAACAUAAGUCUUUGGUAUAAGUCACUAAUUUUAGAUACUCUACUGAAGGAUACAUCAACAGUAUCUACAUGAUCUGUUGAAUUCUUUGUUUUUACAGCAGUGGAUGAUACCUCAGACUCUGAUUCUGAAAUUGUCAUUUCAUCAAGGAGCACAGCUGAAUUCAAUCGAGCUGACACUGGUUUUUGAACCACAAAACCAAAGUCUUCUCAAACACAACCCUGAAGAUGAAAGAGAGGCACCAGGACAUUCAGCAACACUUCAGUCUUGACAGAUAGUAAUAUCUGAUGCUGAGGAUUGACGUCUUGCUACAGGUGUUGAGGAAGAGGACGAGGAGCUGGUUGCAGUCAAUGUGGAGAAUUUCCAUCAUACAGCAGUGGAGGAGAUGAACAUUACACUACCUGACAUUGUGGCAAACCUGUCGCUUACUAUUGAUCACAAAAGGGUCAGCAGGUUCAACAUCUCAAGGGCUAAUGUUUGGGAUGGAGCAGUUAGAGGUUUCAAGGGUAUAACAUAUUCUGAAACCUGUGACAUGCUGGUCAGAUUUACUGAUGAUGCUGGUGUUUUUGAGGAGGGAAUUGACACAGGUGGUCCAAGACGAGAAUUUUUAACUCUGCUAUGAAACACCUGAAAGACCGGCCCAUUUUUGAUGGACCAGAAGGACAUUGGUUCUUGUUU